UGAGCAUCUCAAUAAUUGUAUUUCUGUGUAUGGAACGAAAGAAAAGGGUCAUGUCAAAUUAAAAUAAACCGGUUUCGUCAAUGUUGUUACUACACAAUCACCCGGUUUCGUCUAUAUAUAUCACCCGGUUUUUUUUGUUUUUUUUAACAAACAAUUUAUGAAAAGAAACUUUGGCACGGAUCUGAACAUUGUCUUUCGAGAAUUUAAAUAUAUAUUUAUUGUAAAGUAAACUUGGCGUGUUAAAAUCUAUUUUAAACGGGCACUUUUGGACAUAGUUAAUUAUGAUAAUACACAUUUUCCUAAUGAAAGGCGUAUCCCUUAUUUCACUUAACUUCAAACUAAUUUUAAAUGGAAUAUAAAUACUGAAUAG
rnacentral:lncRNA from 1 species